rnacentral:piRNA from 1 species
UCUUAAGGGCAAGCCAUUGACUUUGUAGGU